AUGAGUGGUGGAGGGACAGAGACCUCUGUGGGUUGUGAGGCCACCCUGGGCUGAGGCAGCAACAAGAGGGACUCCCUGGGAACCGCGGGCUCUGUGCACCUCAUUAUCAAGGAUCUUGGAGAAAUUCAUUCAAGGCUUUUGGAUCACAGACCAGUUAUUCAAGGAGAAACUCGUUAUUUUGUAAAAGAAUUUGAAGAGAAACAUGGUCUUUGAGAAAUGCCUGUUCUUGAAAAUUUGAAGAAUAUAAUCCAUGAAACAAAUGAACAUACUCUUCCCAGAUGUAGGGACAAAAUGUGGGACAAUCUCAGCCAAGUUCUCCAGAGAUAUUCAUAGUGACCACUUAAUAGCUAGUGAGAAACAGCACAUGCUCCAGUGGGAUGACUGGGAUGACUUCAUGAAGGAGCAGCCCAACAAACGGGCCGAAGUGGAUGAAGAGCACAGAAAAGCCAUGGAGAGGCUUAAAGAACAAUACGCUGAGAUGGAGAAGAACCUAGCAAAAUUUUCAACCUUCUAAGAACUUGAACCACAACAACCACAAAACUAAUGAGAUGUUCACCUCUCUCCUGAAAAACAUCCCCAUCAAACCACUUAGCCUCUGCUUCAAGCUUAGCAAUACAUUCAAUGGUACUCUUACACCAGAAGAAAGAAGCUUCUACUGUCAUCCUGAUUGGAUGUUUAAAGAAGAGUGCCACAUAUUUCCAGCUUUAAGUACCUAUAUAUGAUUAUUUGGAAGAGGAAUAGGAAGGAAAAUAGAACAAAUAUACUCUUGGUUAGUCAGAAUUGAUCAUCUUUUCCAUUGAUUAGCUCAGAGAACUGUAGGUGUAGACUUCUUAGGAAGAUCAUGUAAUCCAUUUUUAUACAGGGUGAACAAUAGUUUAUUAUUGUGGCUUAAUGGGCAGGUAUAGAAGCUGCCUGUCAUAGCCUCCUUGGCUGUUGGAAGAAUGUAUAAAGUGUUAUUGCAUGAGUAAAGUAGAAAAAAAAACUCAGCUGUCCUUGGAGCAGAGAUCACAUUUCAGAGAGGUGAGAGUGAAAACAUUAUCUCUACUGCGGCAAAGGUGUCCAUGUUGUUGUUUGAACUGCCUCUUGGGAAGGGUUGCAGAUUUUACAGUGCAGCAUAAUGCCAUGUACUUCCAUGGAUGAGAAGACAUACAUGUUAAGUUUUGCUGCCUUCCAGCACAAAACUAUUUUCAGCUUUUAAAGCAUGCUUAGAAGGAAAAGUUUACCAAAAAUAUAAUGACAUUUAGUUUUUCCAAGAACUAUAAUCUUGCCCAUAGUAUUUACAUCAUUUUCGUGUCUCUUUUGCUAUGGGUAAGCUUUAUAAGAUAAAUAAAAUCUAUACAUGUUUCGACUGUUUAAUGAGUAAUCAACAGAAUCUGCCAGGGAGUCCCUCUGGAACCAUAUAAAGUUCCUGGCUUUGAAGGAACCAGAAGUGUUUGCCCACAUGGCAAAUGAUCCAUGUUAAAUAUAAGCCCUUUUUAGUGUUAAAUGUCUAUUUUCAUAAGCAUGUAUAUGAUGAUGAAAUGUGUACCAAUUCUGUCAUCACCAUGAUCUUUAAAAAUCUGCAUUUAACAAUCAAAUUGAAGCCAGGUGCAGUGGCUCAUGCCUGUAAUCCCAGCACUUUGGGAGGCUGAGGCAGGCGGAUCAUUUGAGGUCAGGAGUUCAAGACCAGCCUAGCCAACAUGGUGAAUCCCUGUCUCUACUAAUAAUACAAAAAUUAGCCGGGCAUGGUGAUGCACGCCUGUGAUCCCAGCUACUCAGGAGGCUCAGGCAUGAGAAUCACUUGAACCCGGGAGGCGGAGAUUGCAAUGAGCCGAGAUUGUGCCACUGCAUUCCAGCCUGGGCAACAGAGCAAGACUCCAUUAAAAAAAAUAUAUACUUGAAGAACUAAGUUGAUUUUUUUUUGUUUGCCAUAAACCAAGCAAAAGUAAAAUGCAAUAAUUUCAAGAGGUUUAUGGUAAACAAAUUUGAGGUAUGAAUAAAUCUUCCACAUAUUUUUUAUUGCUCUUUAGUAAAGAAAGGCAGAAAAAAGAAAAUACCCAGCUCUCUUGUGUUAUCUCCGUGUGGCAACUCCAUAAAAUUGACAAUGCUUGCCUGUGUUGAAUUUAUGGCUUAAUGUCAAAGUUUCAUUCUUGGCUGCAUGUUGAAAACCUGAUUAAAGUUAAUAGAGGAGA